rnacentral:lncRNA from 1 species
ACAUGAGAUGCUCUCUUCAGUCCGGGGCUUGGUUGAACGGACUCACCAGGAAACGUGACUUUCGUGUCCGACCUCUGCUGUAUCAGGAUUCGAUUCUUGGUGUUAAACAAGACAACGCUGAAGGCUCGGUGCAGCAGCCCUGCAAAGCUUUGUGUCUUAGGUUUCAGCGUGCUGACGUUCUCUGGGCCCUGAAGUCACUGCUGCUGGCUGGUGUGCUGGCCACUUGGUCGUGCUGGCCUGUCUCCCACCGGGUGGAUGCCCAGCGAGCUCUGGAUGCUGUGUUUUUCCAGCGCUCUUGGGAGGUGGGCUGUGCCACUGCCUGGCCCACCUGGCCCACCUGGCCCACCAUUACCUGAAGGGAAGCAUGAACAGCCUUUGACGUGGGAGUGGCGACUGCUGAGAGGGAACUGUCUGUACACAAGCAAUGUAGCCUUAUGGGACCUGAGUGGAGCCCCAACCCACGCAGGGCGUGUCUUCAUGGCUUUUCCUGGCCAAUCUGAUACCAAGAUGCAGUGGCCAGAAGUACCUGCACUUCCACUCCUGUCAAGUCUCUGCAUGGCUAUGGUGAGGAAGAGCUCUGCACUGGGCAAGGAAGUUGGCCGUCGAGUGAAGGAAAUGGUGAUGCUGGUGGCCCCUUUCCGGCAGUCAAGUUCCCUAUCAAGGACAUUCAGUUCUCGGAAAGUGGUGAAGGCACAUGCUUCCCUGCAUGGUGCCCGCCUCUCUCCACUCUCUAGAAAUAUUAGAGGCUAGGCUGCUGCUGUAUGUCAGGGCUAGUCCCUCUUCUAUGAAUCCAGAAUAACUCUGAAGAAGCCGAGUAACAGGCAUGAAGUGAAGAGAAAUCGCUGUAACAGGAAGACAGCAAAGCAGAUGCUAAUGACCACACUAUUUAACGAACUGGAACCAACGAGAAAAUACGGUAUUACUGAAGACUGCACUUCCUUGAACAGAGUGCUCUUCUCAGCAAAUCGGAAAUGCCUACACAAAUCGCUUUACAAGAAAGACUGUUUCAAAGCAGCACCUUUCUCAAUGUUCUCGUUCAGGUGACAAUUCUUCUUGGUCUCAGCUCCAAUUUUAUUGUCAUUUUCAUCAAUAAGGAUACACAUCUCUGCCAGGAGUUGAACCUGUUGCUUGUCGAGGUGGUUAGUGUUUAUUUCAGGCAUCAUUACAAAAUGUCUGAUCUGUUCUAGAACACUAAUAUUAAAGGAAAAGAGAAAGAAAGGCAAAAAAAAAAAAAAAAAAA